rnacentral:rRNA from 1 species
UACGUAGGGGGCAAGCGUUGUUCGGAAUUACUGGGCGUAAAGGGCGCGUAGGCGGCACAGCAAGUCGGGAGUGAAAGCCCGGGGCUCAACCCCGGAAUGGCUUUCGAAACUGCUGAGCUAGAGUACAGAAGGGGCAACCGGAAUUCCCGGUGUAGUGGUGAAAUGCGCAGAUAUCAGGAAGAACACCAAUGGCGAAAGCAGCUCUCUGGGACGGUACUGACGCUGAGACGCGAAAGCGUGGGGAGCGAACAGG